GAAGCUUGCUUCACGAGUACAGUGGCAAACGGGUGAGUAACACGUGAACAAUCUACCCUCGAGUGGGGAAUAACACCGCGAAAGCGGUGCUAAUACCGCAUAACAUCUCCGGGUCGCAUGGCCUGGAGAUCAAAAGCGCAAGUUGCUUGAGGAGGAGUUCGCGCCUGAUUAGCUUGUUGGUGAGGUAACGGCUCACCAAGGCUGCGAUCAGUAGCCGGCCUGAGAGGGCGAACGGCCACACUGGAACUGAGACACGGUCCAGACUCCUACGGGAGGCAGCAGUGGGGAAUUUUGCGCAAUGGGCGAAAGCCUGACGCAGCAACGCCGCGUGGAGGAUGAAGGCCCUCGGGUCGUAAACUCCUGUCAGUGGGGAAGAAUGCUUCGCAAGAAGUUUGACUGUACCCAUUGAGGAAGCCACGGCUAACUCCGUGCCAGCAGCCGCGGUAAUACGGAGGUGGCAAGCGUUGUUCGGAAUUACUGGGCGUAAAGGGCGCGUAGGCGGCUUGGCAAGUCAGAUGUGAAAGCCCCGGGCUUAACCCGGGAAUUGCAUCUGAAACUGCUUUGCUUGAGUCCUGGAGGGGAUAGUGGAAUUCCCAGUGUAGCGGUGAAAUGCGUAGAUAUUGGGAGGAACACCUGCGGCGAAGGCGGCUAUCUGGACAGUGACUGACGCUGAUGCGCGAAAGCUAGGGGAGCGAACGGGAUUAGAUACCCCGGUAGUCC
rnacentral:rRNA from 1 species